GACGAACGCUGGCGGCGUGCUUAACACAUGCAAGUCGAACGGAAAGGCCCUGCUUUUGCGGGUUUCUCGAUUGCCGAACGGGGGAGUAACACGCGUGUAUCCUGCCCUUGUCUUUGGGAUAACUUCUGGAAACUGGGGCUAAUACAGGAUAGAAGAUCCUGCUGCAUGUUGGGGGUUGGAAAGUUUCGGCGGUGGGGGAUGGACUCGCGGCUUAUCAGCUGGUUUGUGUGGUUGUUGCUUACCAGGCCUGUGACGGGUAGCCGGCAUGAGAGGGGUAACGGCCACAUGGCGACUGAGGUACGGCCCAGAAGCCAACGGGAGGCAGUAGUGGGGAACAUGGCACAAUGGGCUGAAGCCUGAGACAGCAACGUCGCGUGCGGGAUGACCGCCUUCGGGUUGUAAACCGCUGUCGACUGUGACGAAGCGGGAGUGACGGUAAUGGGUAAAGAAGCACCGGCUAACUACGUG
rnacentral:rRNA from 1 species